rnacentral:rRNA from 1 species
UACGUAGGGUGCAAGCGUUAUCCGGAAUGAUUGGGCGUAAAGCGUCUGUAGGUGGCUUUUUAAGUCCGCCGUCAAAUCCCAGGGCUCAACCCUGGACAGGCGGUGGAAACUACCAAGCUGGAGUACGGUAGGGGCAGAGGGAAUUUCCGGUGGAGCGGUGAAAUGCGUAGAGAUCCGGAAGAACACCGGUGGCGAAGGCGGUCUGACUGGGCAGUAGCUGGACACUGAGGCGCGACAGCGUGGGGAGCA